rnacentral:rRNA from 1 species
GAGCUAGAGUUCGAUCGUGGCUCGGUGAGAUGUAGCUUGCUACAUUUCCUAGCGGCGGACGGGUGAGUAAUGCUUAGGAAUCUGCCUAUUAGUGGGGGACAACAUUCCGAAAGGAAUGCUAAUACCGCAUACGCCCUACGGGGGAAAGCAGGGGAUCUUCGGACCUUGCGCUAAUAGAUGAGCCUAAGUCAGAUUAGCUAGUUGGUGGGGUAAAGGCCUACCAAGGCGACGAUCUGUAGCGGGUCUGAGAGGAUGAUCCGCCACACUGGGACUGAGACACGGCCCAGACUCCUACGGGAGGCAGCAGUGGGGAAUAUUGGACAAUGGGCGAAAGCCUGAUCCAGCCAUGCCGCGUGUGUGAAGAAGGCCUUUUGGUUGUAAAGCACUUUAAGCGAGGAGGAGGCUACUUGGAUUAAUACUCUAGGAUAGUGGACGUUACUCGCAGAAUAAGCACCGGCUAACUCUGUGCCAGCAGCCGCGGUAAUACAGAGGGUGCGAGCGUUAAUCGGAUUUACUGGGCGUAAAGCGUGCGUAGGCGGCUUUUUAAGUCGGAUGUGAAAUCCCUGAGCUUAACUUAGGAAUUGCAUUCGAUACUGGGAAGCUAGAGUAUGGGAGAGGAUGGUAGAAUUCCAGGUGUAGCGGUGAAAUGCGUAGAGAUCUGGAGGAAUACCGAUGGCGAAGGCAGCCAUCUGGCCUAAUACUGACGCUGAGGUACGAAAGCAUGGGGAGCAAACAGGAUUAGAUACCCUGGUAGUCCAUGCCGUAAACGAUGUCUACUAGCCGUUGGGGCCUUUGAGGCUUUAGUGGCGCAGCUAACGCGAUAAGUAGACCGCCUGGGGAGUACGGUCGCAAGACUAAAACUCAAAUGAAUUGACGGGGGCCCGCACAAGCGGUGGAGCAUGUGGUUUAAUUCGAUGCAACGCGAAGAACCUUACCUGGUCUUGACAUAGUAAGAACUUUCCAGAGAUGGAUUGGUGCCUUCGGGAACUUACAUACAGG